rnacentral:rRNA from 1 species
UACGGGGGGGGCAAGCGUUGUUCGGAAUUACUGGGCGUAAAGGGCUCGUAGGCGGCCAACUAAGUCAGACGUGAAAUCCCUCAGCUCAACUGGGGAACUGCGUCUGAUACUAGAUGGCUCGAGUGCAGGAGAGUAACGCGGAAUUCCAGGUGUAGCGGUGAAAUGCGUAGAUAUCUGGAGGAACACCGGUGGCGAAGGCGGCGUUCUGGACUGCAACUGACACUGAGGAACGAAAGCCAGGGGAGCAAACGGG